GCUUCUCUAGCUACCAUUAAUUUCCACACUGCCCUCAUGUGAACUGACACCUUCUGUGAACUUACUACAGAUGAAGUGAGGGAAGCUACUACACAGCAUUAUCAGUGGUCCCCAAUAGUCAAGGGCUGGAAGACAAACAAAUGAGGGAAGGUUUAUGUCCCCAAAUAGCUUUAGUGUGCUCAUGCCAACUUAACUCGCAAGGAUUCAAACCACUUUGAUUUUGGUAACACCGUGACCUCACAGAGACCACCUCUGACCUCAUAGAGGCCCCUUCUGUCCUCACUGACAGACAGAGAUCUCAGCUGACCUAACAGAGACAUCCCCUGACACUUUAGACACUCCCCUUGACCACACAGAGACAUCCCAUGCCCACACAGAGACUUGUCUGACCACCCAGAGACCUCCACUGACCUCAUAGUGAACCCCUCUUCCCUCAAAGUGAGGUCUCCUGAUUUCACAGAGAACUCCCUGAACACACAAAGAACUCCCAUGACCUCCAAGAGACCUCUAGUGACAUUAUAGAGACCCCCCUCUCACCUCACCGAGACCUGAUAUCACAGAAGCCAACCAUUUCCUCAACAAGAUCCCCUACAACACAGUGAGAACUCCACUAAUUUCAUGGAAACCUCAAGUGACUCUCACCAGAUCUAGGAUCUCAGGGAAAUGAAGAGAGGAUGGAACCAUACAUAUUCCUCAAGUAAAGGACAGGAUCUCAAUGAACAACUAAGUGAGCAUUGAAGAAAACCUUGGAAGUCCUUGAGCAGAGCAGGAGGAACACCGUGACACCAAGCCAAAAGCAUUGAGGAACUCGUGGAUGUGCACGAGCAAGCUCACAGAGUAAAGAUUCCCAGUGUUUUCAACAAAUGAGGAAUUAAAUGUUUCUAGUUAAUCCAGAAUAACCUAAA